UGGGGAAUAUUGGACAAUGGAGGCAACUCUGAUCCAGCAAUUCUGUGUGUGUGAAGAAGGUUUUAGGACUGUAAAACACUUUUAGUAGGGAAGAAAGAAAUGACGGUACCUACAGAAGAAGCGACGGCUAAAUACGUGCCAGCAGCCGCGGUAAUACGUAUGUCGCGAGCGUUAUCCGGAAUUAUUGGGCUUAAAGGGCAUCUAGGCGGUUAAACAAGUUGAAGGUGAAAACCUGUGGCUCAACCAUAGGCUUGCCUACAAAACUGUAUAACUAGAGUACUGGAAAGGUGGGUGGAACUACACGAGUAGAGGUGAAAUUCGUAGAUAUGUGUAGGAAUGCCGAUGAUGAAGAUAACUCACUGGACAGCAACUGUCGCUGAAGUGCGAAAGCUAGGGGAGCAAACAGG
rnacentral:rRNA from 1 species